UGUUGAAAUUGAUUAACAACUUAGUUUAGAAAAGAAUUGAAAUUUUAGUAUGGGAAUCAAUACGCAUUCAGUCAUUUUGCUCAUACACGAUUUAAUAAAAAGAAAAGAAACAAAAAACUUAAUUGAAUGAGAGUAUAUACUGUAUGUCGUUGAAUAAAUUUACCAAAAAAAGAUUUUAACAACAAAAGAGUUACAGAGUUUAUAAUAUGUAUAGUUUUUGUUUAAUUUGAUUCUUAUUAUUUUAGUAAACUACUUUGAAGACUAUUUUUUUUUUUCAGAUUUAAUGAGGAUCACCCUUCCAACUUUCUACUGCUCUUGCUAAAAACUUUCAUUGAUUCAAGUCGGAACUUUAACAAUUAACAGAUAGCACUCUUCGACAGCGAUUGGUGACGGCGAUGAGCGAGAAGCCGAAAAGACACUUUUCUGGUGUUCACUGUUUUUUUCAAUAGACAUAAAUCAAGCAGAAGGAGGGAAAGUGAAAAGGAGCGACUCAAAAUGGGUUAAUCUUUUCCAUUGUUGAAUUAUUACACUAUCUUUCUUUAGGGUCGAUAUCCAAAGAUGGAUGUCAGGUUCUUCUUUUCAAGAUUUCUAUCUACCAAUUGAUAUUUAUCUUCUUUUGAUUCCAUACCAUUAGUUAUUCUUCUUUCCCAGGUUCGAGUCUUAUUUAUUGAUUUCAUAGGUUCCAGUUUUUUCCUAUGUUGAACAGAUCCUUCUUGAUUCGUACACAAUAAGACUCCAAUAUAUGAUGACACGGAUGGCAGUUGUUGCUGCUUUCAAUAACUUUUAUCCUUAGAAGAAGAGGGUACAUCUGCUCACAUUGUAACCACAUGUAUCAACAUUGCCCAUACACUUAAAGGGUUGGGUUUUACUUGACGGUUUACCCAAUUAUGUAUCUUCCCGUGGAAAUGGUGCACUAACAACCUUAUUGUUGUCUUGUGAGUAGCCCAACCUCUAAUAAAAGGAGAUUUGAAGCUGAUUAGUGUUGAACAUUUGACAAUUUAUCAUGUGAAAAUCCUUUUGCAUGUAUGUACUAGAAGCAAUUUAUUGGUUACUCACCUAAUAUGGACAACUAUAUAUGUCUAUUUCUUUUUUGCUUAAUCUGGAAUAAAUGACUUAAUGGUCAUUUAGUCUCUUUCAGACACUUCAUCUAAAGUAAACAUCUUCACUCAUAAACAACCCUAAAAAAGAUGUGGGCUUUUCAGGUCAAAAGUCUUAAAGAUAAGCCCCCUUCAACAUUUUAUAAUAAAAUAGUCAAGACUUCAGGUUUGAUGUUUCUCUAUUACUUUAAUUUCAGAAAAUAUAGAACAAGGUACAAGCCAGAGUUGUCUGAAGGAACAUCAGAAAAAAGCCUAUUUCUAUUGAUGAAAUGGUAGCUAUGGAUAUCAAGAGAACACAUUUAUCACAAGUAGGAUGCCUGAAUGAGAAAAUGGUCAAAUUGUGUCGAUAUGAAAAGUAGUUUAAAAGGUUUCAUGAUUCUUUAUCCGUAUUUAAACACCAUUUUUACAUUAUUGAGUUAGAUAAUAGUGAGUAAACACAAGAAUGCAUGGUAUUUGGAAUAAGUUAUAAAAAUGGGACAAAAGGGCAAAAAUGUCCAAAAUGGGCAUUUUGCUUUUAUAAAGCCCAUUUUUGGGCUAAAUGCAAAAUUUUUAUUUUUUUUGAAAGUCCAUGAUUUGGCUCAAUGGAAGUAUAUACCUAUUUUUCGCUUUAACGAAGUAUUUUUAAAAUUCCAGGCAUAAGAUUAUGUACUACCACUUGGAGAUCUUAUAUUGCUAUUUUCUUUAUGUUCCUUGAAAUUGCCCAUUUUCAUGUCUUUGUAAUGAUUUAUCGUAUACCCUUAUUUACUGUUUUA